UACGUAGGUGACCAGCGUUGUCCGGAUUUACUGGGCGUAAAGAGCGCGCAGGCGGUCGAUCAAGUCGAGUGUGAAAGCCCCCGGCUCAACUGGGGAGGGUCAUUCGAUACUGAUCGACUUGAAGGCAGGAGAGGGAAGCGGAAUUCCCGGUGUAGUGGUGAAAUGCGUAGAUAUCGGGAGGAACACCAGUGGCGAAGGCGGCUUCCUGGCCUGUUCUUGACGCUGAGGCGCGAAAGCUAGGGGAGCAAACGGG
rnacentral:rRNA from 1 species